AUGAGUGAGCUGGAGAGCAGAGAGCUUCAUGACGAGUCCAAGUUCAAGGAGCUGGCUGGGGGAGAAUGCCCGGGAGGGCUUUCCUUCUACUGCUGGUGGUGUGCUAUGAACAAGGACACGCAACAGCAGAGGUGAGGCUUAUCCACACAUCUCUCUCAACUACUGACACAACAAAGCACAGAGCUCUUUAGUUCGGCUGCUAAAGGCUGCAAAAGGAAACAUGAUAUAAAACAUGAGGCCAGGCACAGUGGCUCAUGCCUGUAAUCCCAGUACUUUGGGAGGCUGAGGCAGGAGGACCACUUGAGCCCAGAAGUUUGAGGCUAGCUUGGGCAACAUGGUGAAACCUCAUCUCUACUAAAAAAAAAACCAACCAAACACAAAUUAGUCUGGCAUGAUGGCACGUGCCUGUAGUCUCUGCUACUUGGGAGGCUGAGGCAGGAAGACUGCUUGAGCCUGGGAGGCAAAGGUUGCUGUGAGCUAAGAUUGUGCUGCUGCAUUCUACUCACAGAAAUCCCACAGAGCAAACCGACAACACACAUGAGCACAUGAGCAUGCUAGAAAAUGUAGAAGAAGCUGCAUUCCUGGAGAGGAGACGUUUUGAAAUCUCUGCUCUUCUCAGCUAAGUGACCAGGGGCUCAGCCCUGAUGUUGAAACUGUGGUAGAGCUGGGUGCUCCCAGCCCAGCAGAAAGGACCUGGGGAGCUAUGCAGGUUUCAGGCAGGGGCUACCUAGGACCCUCGAAGGAGCUGGAAGCAAGAGGCCUUGCCAGGCCACAGAAGACACCCAGGUUCUACAUCCAGGCCCAGCUGACAGCUUCACUGACAGCUAAUUCUAAUACAGUGAGAUCUACCGUAAUGCUAUUAAAUGGAGAAUAAAAAUGAACACACGUGAAAUGUGAGGUGGCACCCUUGAGAAGUUUCACGGAUGACUGGGCGAACCUUGUAGCUGGGCAGCUCUGGGCUCUAGAGGUCUGUUGUCAACUGUAUCGCAUCCAAAGUUACAUCAUCACAGGUAUGCAUCAGUUCGGGGUUUUGUGGGAGCAGCACCAAUACUUGCAUUUUGGACUUUAGCCCCAGAAAGUCCUAGAUGUAAAUCCCAAUUCUGUCACUUCCUGAUUUUAUGACACAAACCUAUGUAGAAACCUCAAUUCUGUUUUAUUUUUAUCUGUAAAACGAG
rnacentral:lncRNA from 13 species